AACCGGUGAUGUAAUGAUUCUGCCAAAUGAAUGUAAUGAUAUCACUUUCAAAACCGUUCCAUUUUUGAUUCUGAGGUU
ensembl:snoRNA